UACGUAGGGGGCUAGCGUUGUUCGGAUUGACUGGGCGUAAAGGGCGUGUAGGCGGUUGGUCAAGUCUGAUGUGAAAGCCCGGAGCUCAGCUCCGGAAGUGCAUCGGAAACUAGCUGGCUGGAGCGCGAUAGAGGAGGGUGGAAUUCCUGGUGUAGCGGUGAAAUGCGUAGAUAUCAGGAGGAACACCGGCGGCGAAGGCGGCCCUCUGGAUCGUUGCUGACGCUGAGACGCGAAAGCGUGGGGAGCAAACAGG
rnacentral:rRNA from 1 species